UUCUCCCGCGUCUCUAUGAUAGAGCCGGCCUGGGAGGCUGCAACGGCGGUGGGGGCUGUGGUAAGGCGAAGUGAGAGGUCCAACUUUCUUACUGGACUGAGAGGUUUUGGCCGCGGAGGGUCGCGAUGUCAGAGAAAAAACAGCCGGUAGACUUGGGUCUGCUGGAGGAGGACGACGAGUUCGAGGAGUUCCCUGCAGAAGACUGGGCUGGUUUAGAUGAAGAUGAAGAUGCACAUGUCUGGGAGGAUAAUUGGGAUGAUGACAAUGUAGAGGAUGACUUCUCCAAUCAGUUACGUGUUUUACCACCAGCCCAUACUGUCCUCUACACCUGAGCAGAAGACAAAGAUGAUUCAUAUGAAUAAGCUCUGGCCUUAAUAUUAUUCAUGGACUUUAGAGCUGAACUAGAGAAACAUGGUUAUAAGAUGGAGACAUCAUAGCAUCCAGAAGUGCUGAAGCAACCUAAAGUUGAACUGUUUACUAAAUUCUAGAGCAGAGAACCCAGGAUGGGACACUUAAAAAAUGUUUAUUUCAUUACCUCCUUGGAUUUAUUUUUGUUUUUGUAACACACAAAAUAAAUGUUUUGAUCUAA